rnacentral:tRNA from 1 species
UGCCGGGUGGCGGAACUGGUAGACGCAGCACGCUUUGAACGUGUAUAACUGUGGGUUCGAGUCCUACGCCGGCAGCCA